GACGAACGCUGGCGGCGUGCUUAACACAUGCAAGUCGAACGGAAAGGCCCUGCUUUUGUGCGCUUCUCGAUUGGCGAAGGGGUGCGUAACACGUGUGUAACCUGCCCUUGACUUUGGGAUGACUUCAGGAAACGGGGGCUAAUACCAGAUAGGAGACCCUGCUCCGUGGUGGGGGGUGGAAAGUUUCAGCGGUUGGGGAUGGACGCGCGGAUUAUGGGCUUGUUGGUUGGGUAGGGGCAUACCAAGGAUUUGACGGGUAGCCGGCCUGGGAGGGUGACCGGCCACAUUGGGACUGAGAUACGGACCAGAGUCGUACGGUAGGCAGCAGGGGGGAAUAUUGCCCAAUGGGCGGAAGCCUGAUGCAGCAGCGUCGCGUGCGUGAUGACGGCUUUCGGGGUGUAAACCGCUUUCGCCUGUGACGAAGCGUGAGUGACGGUAAUGGGUGAAGAAGCACCGGCUAACUACGUG
rnacentral:rRNA from 1 species